rnacentral:miRNA from 15 species
GCGAGCUGAGAUGUAUUCCGAGGGGGAAAAGUUAUGGCGAUUAUGAAAAAUGUAACCAUAAGCGUAUAGCUUUUCCCCUUCGGCGUAUGUCACUUCAACG